CCUACGGGAGGCAGCAGUGGGGAAUCUUGCGCAAUGGGCGAAAGCCUGACGCAGCAACGCCGCGUGCGGGAAGAAGGCUUUCGGGCUGUAAACCGCUUUCAGCAGGAACGAAAAUGACGGUACCUGCAGAAGAAGGAGCGGCCAACUAUGUGCCAGCAGCCGCGGUGAUACAUAGGCUUCAAGCGUUGUCCGGAUUUAUUGGGCGUAAAGAGUUCGUAGGCGGUCAAGUAAGUCGGGUGUGAAAAUUCUGGGCUCAACCCAGAGACGCCACCCGAUACUGCUUAACUUGAGUUCGAUAGGGGAGUGGGGAAUUCCUAGUGUAGCGGUGAAAUGCGCAGAUAUUAGGAGGAACACCGGUGGCGAAGGCGCCACUCUGGAUCGAUACUGACGCUGAGGAACGAAAGCAUGGGUAGCAAACAGGAUUAGAUACCCUGGUAGUCCAUGCCGUAAACGGUGGGCACUAGGUGUGGGUUUCUAUUAACGAAAUCCGAGCCGUCGCUAACGCAUUAAGUGCCCCGCUCGGGGGAGUACGGUCGCAGACUAAACUACAAAGAUAGAGCGNGNGAGNGCGACGACGACGACGACGGAGGAG
rnacentral:rRNA from 1 species